rnacentral:rRNA from 1 species
AACGAACGCUGGCGGCGUGGAUAAGACAUGCAAGUCGAACGGGGCGGAUGCGAUUACAUCAAGUCUGUUCAGUGGCGGACGGGUGCGUAACACGUGAACAAUCUGCCGGGAGGAGGGGGAUAGCCCAUGGAAACGUGGAUUAAUACCCUGUGCGGCGGGAUCCGGCAUCGGAUUCCGGCCAAAGGCGGUGCAAGCCGCCG